GACUGGUCUGAGUGCAGUGGUGUUCACAACUAAUGGAUCACAACCAAUUACACAUUUAUUUGUUCCUUUCUAUUCCCACUGCUUCAUGUGACUAGCCUUAA
rnacentral:Y_RNA from 1 species